rnacentral:rRNA from 1 species
UCUUCUACCUCUGAUGGCUUUUUUAUAUCCCAGGAAAAGUAUAUCCAGGAUCUUCUUGCUCGUUCUGCUCUUACUGACGAGCGCAUUGUUGAGACUCCUAUGGAGCUCAAUGUUCAUCUCCGUGCUACUGAUGGUGAUCCUCUCCCUGACCCGACGUGUUAUCGUCAUCUCGUUGGCAGUCUUGUCUAUCUAGCUGUCACUCGUCCGGACAUCUCCUAUCCGGUUCAUAUUCUGAGUCAGUUCAUCUCUGCUCCCACAUCGGUUCACUAUAGUCAUCUCCUUCGUGUUCUCCGAUAUCUUCAGGGCACGAUUUCUCACCGUCUAUUCUUUCCUAGCUCCAGUUCUUUACAGCUUCAGGCCUAUUCGGAUGCUCCGUGGGCUAGUGAUCCUUCUGAUCGCUGUUCACUUUCUGCUUACUGUGUUUUUCUUGGCGGUUCUCUCAUUGCCUGGAAAACGAAGAAACAGAUUGCAGUUUCACGUUCAAGUGCUGAGGCUGAGUUGCGAGCCAUGGCUCUUUUGACGGCAGAGGUGACUUGGUUACGGUGGUUACUUCAGGAUUUUGGUGUUUCUGUCACU